UAAGGAUAAAAUAGGAUUAAAAAAAAUUAUAUAAGAGUAUAGUUGGAAAAGAAAAAUGAAACCUAUGACAUAGCACCAAUUUGAUGAUUUAAUAAAUUACUUUAUUCCAUAAUUAUUAAACCCACCAUUUUUAAAAAAUCAUGAAAACAAACAUGUUCAUGGUAAUCAUUCCAGAAAUCACCAUCCAAACAGGCUGUAAAUCCCCAAUUACUCUCUAUUUCAUAACUCUAGCAUGCCACACUCCCAAAAUAUCUUCAAUUCAAAGUGUGUCACGUCGCGAAUCUGCCCCAAAAUCUUCUACUUGUCUCCUCCAUGAACUCAAACAAGGUGUUUUGACCAUGCGGGUAUAAUGUGAAUUAGAGGAAGUCUGAGUACCCUACUUUUGAAUUUCACGCCCCUAUGUUGGCAACUAAGUAUGGGGUCGCCCCUAAAUCCACCUAUACUUGGUGUUUUCUAGCCUAAAUAGGUACCAUUUUGUGGUUGCAUAUUGUGGCUACAGGUAUUAUGGCAAGCAAAGCACAAAAUGGGAAAUAUGUUGCUGCACCUUCAGAAUCAUCUAAGAAGAGAGUUUGUCAAACAACCCAUGUAUCUAGAUCCCCACCUGUCCCAAGAGGUCAGACCCGCAGGUAUGGAUCUAGGUGGGUUGAAGAAGCAGGAAAGAAAUGGUACAGCAAGCAUACUGAGUCCAAAUAUGCCCCGGACAAGUUCAUUGACCAAGAGAGUUUUCAUAUAGAGUUACCGAGCAUAGUUCGGAGGAUCGAGGAGCUGCAUAUGAACUUAUUUUUGAGCAGCCUACUGAGUGUAACUUGCAAUUGAUCAAACUAGGACCCAAGGGAUCCGAAUUCAGAAGUUAAAAUUCAUGGGCAAGUGAUGACAUUUGGUGCACAUGACUUGAAUGCUAUUUUGGGCACUCCAGAGGUGGACUCACUUCAGCUCAGGCAGCUAAACAUUACUCUACCCUACGCUAACAUCAGACAUCUAUUAUGUGGCAACAGAUCAACGACUAGAUGGAUUUGUCACCUAGAAGGGGGCAUCAUAUGACGAUUCCCUAUGCACAGAUGAACAAGAAAGCUAGAAUGUGGCUAACGAUUAUCUUUCACUGCCUCAUUCCUGGAAUGCACAUGACAGAAGUCACUCGGGACCGUGUUUACUUGAUUUAUGCACUGAUGUAGGAGGGCUUCGUGAUAAUUAUGGGCGCAGUGAUUAUUUUAUCUAUGAAGAAGGCCUGCUUUUAUCAGGGACACAGGUAUGGUUUUGGUAGAUUGCUGACUCAGUUUUUGAGGGGCCAUGAGAUAGAGGUGGAGGCCCUAGACUACAUACCAGUUUUAGACACGCGUCUGGUGGAUGUUACCCGAACGUGGGUCUUAAUAUAGCUCAUGGACCAGUGCUGACACUGCCUGAGUGUCAUGCUCGGGAUGAUGUGAUCACAACUUGCAUAUACGGGCUAUAGAUAUUGCAGUUGCAAGUGGAGGGUAGAACAACCACUAAAUAGAAGGUACGGCAGUGGAUCUUGACUCUCCACUUGGUUACCAUGGCAGGACUCUCUUGCAGAUAAGCCCAGAGUUUGUGGAGCCAGUGAAUAAUGAUAUCCUUACAGAUGAGGAGAGACAACUGUGAGAUUUGGACUUUGAGUCCAAUGAUGAUGAUGAUGAUGUCAACCCAGAUUUGGGCGAUGAGGAUUUAGGCCCAGAUGUUGAUGAUGGCAUGGAUGAGGCGUGACAUGGGAGUUUUAAAUUACCUCAUAAUUUUUUUUUCUUACAUCUGCUAGCACUGGGGACAAUGCUACAUUUAAGUAUAGGGUGGUGGUAAUUCUCAUAUUUUGUCAUCUAUUCUGGUUGGAUUAUUAUGGAUGUUAUUUUGUUGGAUAUUAUUUUUGAUUUGGUGCUAAGAUAUAUUCUGCUAUAGUCAGUUUGUAAUAGUUAGUAAUUAUUCUAUUUUCUGAAUUUGAAGUUAGUUGUUUUAUUAUUU